rnacentral:rRNA from 1 species
UACGUAGGCAGCGAGCGUUGUUCGGAGUUACUGGGCGUAAAGCGUGCGUAGGCGGUUGUCUAAGUUUGGUGUGAAAUCUCCCGCUUAACUGGGAGGGUGCGCCGAAAACUGGGUGACUGGAGUGUCGGAGAGGUAAGCGGAAUUUCCGGUGUAGCGGUGAAAUGCGUAGAUAUCGGAAGGAACAUCAGUGGCGAAAGCGGCUUCCUGGACCAGCACCGACGUCAGGCACGAAAGCGUGGGGAGCAAACAGG